rnacentral:rRNA from 1 species
UACGUAGGGUGCAAGCGUUGUCCGGAAUUAUUGGGCGUAAAAGAGCUCGUAGGCGGUUCGUCGCGUCGGCUGUGAAAAUCCCCGGAGCUCAACUCCGGGUCUGCAGUCGAUACGGGGCGGACUUUGAGUACUGCAGGGGGAGACUGGAAUUCCUGGUGUAGCGGUGAAAAUGCGCAGAUAUCAGGAGGAACACCGGUGGCGAAGGCGGGUCUCUGGGCAGUAACUGACGCUGAGGAGCGAAAGCGUGGGGGAGUCAAAACAGGA